rnacentral:rRNA from 1 species
GAUGAACGCUAGCGGCAGGCUUAAUACAUGCAAGUCGAGGGGCAGCAGGACUGUAGCAAUACAGUUGCUGGCGACCGGCACACGGGUGCGGAACACGUACGCAACCUACCCAAAACUGGGGGAUAGCCCGGGGAAACCCGGAUUAAUACCUCGUAACCUUUUUAAGUGGCAUCACUUGAUAAGUAUAGCUCCGGCGGUUUUGGAUGGGCGUGCGCCUGAUUAGGUAGUUGGUGCGGGUAACGGCCCACCAAGCCUGCGAUCAGUAACUGGUGUGAGAGCACGACCAGUCACACGGGCACUGAGACACGGGCCCGACUCCUACGGGAGGCAGCAGUAAGGAAUAGUGGUCAAUGGACGCAAGUCUGAACCAGCCAUGCCGCGUGAAGGAUGAAGGUCCUCUGGAUUGUAAACUUCUUUUAUGGGGGACGAAACCCGGAUAUUCUUAUCCGAUUGACGGUACCUCAGGAAUAAGCACCGGCUAACUCCGUG